rnacentral:rRNA from 1 species
GACGAACGCUGGCGGCGUGCUUAACACAUGCAAGUCGAACGGAAAGGCCCUGCUUUUGUGGGGUGCUCGAGUGGCGAACGGGUGAGUAACACGUGAGUAACCUGCCCUUGACUUUGGGAUAACUUCAGGAAACUGGGGCUAAUACCGGAUAGGAGCUCCUGCUGCAUGGUGGGGGUUGGAAAGUUUCGGCGGUUGGGGAUGGACUCGCGGCUUAUCAGCUUGUUGGUGGGGUAGUGGCUUACAAAGGCUUUGACGGGUAGCCGGCCUGAGAGGGGGACCGGCCACAUUGGGACUGAGAUACGGCCCAGACUCCUACGGGAGGCAGCAGUGGGGAAUAUUGCACAAUGGGCGGAAGCCUGAUGCAGCAACGCCGCGUGCGGGAUGACGGCCUUCGGGUUGUAAACCGCUUUCGCCUGUGACGAAGCGUGAGUGACGGUAAUGGGUAAAGAAGCACCGGCUAACUACGUG